UCAGUAACAACCCACCCCUAUCACAUGUUCCACUAAUUACCAUAUAUAAAGCAAGACAAGUCUCAUAAAGAAAGGGAUUGAGAUUGACAUAUCAUUUAGAACUCCUCUUCUGGUACUGCGCCUUGACCCACCCGAUCCCGAAGCUGGUCCCAGUCUUCACCUUCUUCGCCCCCACCGUCGCCGCAGCCUUCGCCUUGUCCAGACCUGCCGAGGCCACCGCCUUCGCCUUAUCCAUCUUCUUCCCCUUGUCCUUCCCGUCGUCCUUGUGGUCUUCAUGAUCAUCGCCGCCGCCGCCGCCCCACUGAUCCGCCCAGCUCGGCGCCUUGUUCAAGGAUCCCAUAGCACCUCGAUUUGGGGAGAUCCUGAUUACCG
rnacentral:misc_RNA from 1 species